AAGAUCCCAAACCACGAAACAGGUCAGUGAUAUGUGGCUGGGUCAUGAGUCCUUCUCAGAAACUUCGUGGUGACCAUCACAAGCAUCAGUGCUUGCUUCCGGACACACUCUGAGCUCUUCAUGGCCUCUACUGCAGCAGGAGAUGCCACACGGCCUCACACCUCACCUUUGGCUGGAUAUGGAAGCGUCAGAAAGCUCCACGGGGAAAGGCGGCCAUGUGUUCUGGCAAGACUGUGAUGGAUGGCCUGGACUCACAAAUUCCACGAAGUUCAGAGAACGUUAACUUGAGUUUGCGGUUCCUGAACAUUUGGCUUAAGCAGCUCCUCCGGGGCUAGCGGCAGCUCCCCGGCAGUCAGCUCCUGAGGCAGGAAGACAGCUUCCCUGACUCCAGCCUUCAGAGCCUUCAUCUGAAGAUGAAGCCCCCCCACCCUGACGCCCAUCGACUACAAGAAGGCCUUUGAAACUCAGGCCAGAGGAGUAAAGAAAUCAGUUAGACUCCUGCAUCCUUGAUGGUCCUGCCUCGGGGCUCUGGGUGACCUCUGAGUCUCACAUCGCUGGACCUGUGACAUAAGCAGGUACGCAUGCUGACCCCAGGCAAGGGCAACCCGUGGGAGCAGGACAAGAGGAGGCAGACCAGCAAGAACCCAACCGACGCCCCGUAUGGAUGGAGCCCCACUAACCUGGCCCCGAGCCAUGGGAUGAAGUCACCCGCAUCUAGGGUGUGUUAAAUCUCCCCAUCAAUCAACACAUUCUAGAAACCCCCUCAUUGACAUGCCCGGUAACAAUCAGUGCUCACCACCACAGGACUCGAAGCCAACGUCAACGACUCAAGCUGAUCCACCUUCAUCCUUACAUCCCAAGUCUUGUUGGAGUCUGCUGUUUUUCCUACGGAACAUUUCUUACUUAAAGUUUUCCGUCUGUUUUCUUCCCUAUUUCUGGUGAUUCACCAAGGCUAAUAGAAUGUUCUCUAUGGAUAUCCAACAUCACAUUUCCCCAGCACACUAUUAUCGCCUACUCUCUCCAUUCUAUCCUAGCCCAAAUCUCUACACCCCUUCCAAAGCUUAGGUGCCUGGGUGCACGCUUCUCCAUGGGUCCCACCGCAUUUGGACACAUGGAGCUAGUCAACUUCUCUCAGUGACCGUGUCUGUGCAAGCACAAUGACUGCGGCUCUUCCAGAAAACAGUCGCAGGGCUGGAACAGGUGCCUAAGGACCAGCUGGGAGACCACACUGGCAAGUCUCCUGACCUGACCUUGACAGUCAGACCAAGGAGCUGCUCCUGUACAAAGAAGCUGCGGAGCCCACGAACAGGAAACCAGAAGUCAGCACCAGGGAGACCCGAAGGCCCUCGUGAGCUCCCGGGGUAGAGGAAGCUUCGAGACGGGAAGGCAGAAUGGAAAAGUAGACACAUGAAUUGUAAAGACUCUGACAGAGAGGAAACACCAGGAGGAGCUUGGGAUGAGGGCUGCUGGGGAUGGAUUAAAAUAAACUGAAUAUACGUCACUGCAGAGCUCUGGAUGAUAAUGGGCCAGCUUUGUUUUAUAUUUUUCAAGUGCUAACAGGUUCACAGCCAGUGGGUUUGGAGGGGGAAAUCACUGGGUCUUAUGUUCCUAUCAGAAAUGCAGGGUUCACACUGGCCAGUUGGGUUCUGGGGGCUUUUUGCAAGGAAAAGCAUACAUUUUGUCUGGAGUUCAUUUUCAAGGUUUGACAACAACGAUGAUUACCACCACCUAAUGUUGGUGGAAAGAGAAGGCUACACAUUGCUACAAAAUAUCCUUCAAAGAUAAAAUGAUGGGGUUGCUAUGGAAAACGGCAAAGAAAGUCACCCCCCUCCCUGAAAUAAAAGCAGAAUUUCUAUCUGAUGCUGUAAUUCUCCCUUUAGGAUGUAUGCUAUAAAAACCGAAAAUAGGAAUUUGAAAAAGUAUUCGCAAA